CCCUGCUGCUCAGUGAGCAGUAUUGCAUGUUGAAUUUGAGGCGCGAGGUUUUUUUGAAUCUUUAUUGAACAAAUCAAGUAACAAUUAAGAGUAAACAGAACCAACAAGUUGUUAAUACACUCACAGAUUACAUUGAGUUAAAAGAGACUCCAGUUUCAAACCGUUUUAAACUUUUAGCCACGUCAUCAGCUAAUGAAGGCGCUCGUCGUUACUGGUCACGUGACGUCCGCUCAACGCACACCGCGCCAAACGCGGCUUUGGCUCCUCAGUCACGUGACGUUUUUCCGCUCGGCACGCAUCGCCCCAAACAUGGAUGUCAGUUCUCCUGCUCACGUGACAAAACGUCACGGACACACGCCUUGAAAAGAGCCCCAAUUUUCCACGCCCACUUUCACUCCACACACGUUUUAAAAGUCCGGCGUCAUUUUGCCCAUCACGACUGAUUAUUUGGAUGCCUGCUUGUUAACUUUGUGUAGCCGACUGCCGUUGCCAGACCACGUCGAUGCGGAGUUUGCUUUUAUUUGAUGAUGGCGAGGAAAGGAAAGGCUUGUAGCCCAAGAGUCAACUCAUUUCAACCCACUGGAUAAUCUUGCCAGGAAGCCCACAACCUGCUCUAACCGUGUUGGUUACCCCGGAGCCAAGAUAUCAAACGCAAAUAUGCUAACAUAAGAGCUAAAACAAGUGCCCUCAGGCCGGUGUUAAUUAAACCAAGGCAUCCAAAGGUGAGCGUUUCCAUGGCAACCUGCCA